rnacentral:siRNA from 1 species
UUGAAGCAUACAAAUGAUGUUU